AAGAAACUAACAAGGAUUCCCCUAGUAACUGCGAGUGAAGCGGGAAAAGCUCAAAUUUAAAAUCUGGCGGUCUUUGGCCGUCCGAGUUGUAGUCUGGAGAAGUGCUUUCCGCGCUGGACCGUGUAUAAGUCUCUUGGAACAGAGCGUCAUAGAGGGUGAGAAUCCCGUCUUUGACACGGACUACCAGUGCUUUGUGAUGCGCUCUCAAAGAGUCGAGUUGUUUGGGAAUGCAGCUCAAAAUGGGUGGUGAAUUCCAUCUAAAGCUAAAUAUUGGCGAGAGACCGAUAGCGAACAAGUACCGUGAGGGAAAGAUGAAAAGCACUUUGGAAAGAGAGUUAAACAGUACGUGAAAUUGCUGAAAGGGAAACGCUUGAAGUCAGUCGCGUUGUCCGGAACUCAGCCUUGCUUUCGCUUGGUGCACUUUCCGGAUGACGGGUCAGCAUCGAUUUUGACCGUCGGAAAAGGGCUGGAGUAAUGUGGCACCUCCGGGUGUGUUAUAGACUCUGGUCGCAUACGACGGUUGGGAUCGAGGAACGCAGCGCGCCGCAAGGCAGGGGUUCGCCCACUUUCGCGCUUAGGAUGCUGGCAUA
rnacentral:rRNA from 1 species